AGCCUGAUGCAGCGACGCCGCGUGGGGGAUGAAGCAUUUCGGUGUGUAAACCCCUUUCGACCCGGACGAAUGCCUCGCAAGAGGAGUGACGGUACGGGUAUAAGAAGCCCCGGCUAACUACGUGCCAGCAGCCGCGGUAAGACGUAGGGGGCCAGCGUUGUUCGGAAUUACUGGGUGUAAAGGGUUCGUAGGCGGUGUGGCAAGUUGGGAGUGAAAUCUCUGGGCUCAACCCAGAGGCUGCUUCCAAAACUGCUGUGCUUGAGUGUGGGAGAGGCGCGUGGAAUUGCAGGUGUAGCGGUGAAAUGCGUAGAUAUCUGCAGGAACACCCGUGGCGAAAGCGGCGCGCUGGACCACAACUGACGCUGAGGAACGAAAGCUAGGGGAGCAAACAGGAUUAGAACCCCCUGGUAGA
rnacentral:rRNA from 1 species